GGAGAAUUGUAAAGUAGGAAUUAUCUUAUAGAUCCUCUCUAAUUCACUUUAAUUUUCCAUGAAUGUCUUCAUUCUUCUUUCCUAUCAUGUUUAAAAUGACCAAACACUGAGAAAACUUAUACACAUUCACCCAGCUUUUUCAUUGCAGUUAAUUAUCCCACUAUGGCGAUGGGGGAAGGCACGACCACCAAGAUCAUGAUGGUGAAUGCAAUGGGCAUGUCCCUACUCUGCUGCUCAGGAGAACUCAGGAAAACUUCAUGUCUACUUUAUUAUAACUUGAAUGUGUGAAUAUUAGAAACUUUCCACCUGAAGAAGACUUGGUCAAGGUCGAAACCGGUUGUGGAAGUUCUCUACAAGGAAACAUAGAGGAAUAUUUGUUUAUAGAGACUUUUGUUGAAAUUUCCUUUAUAAGAAAGAAAGAGAAAGAAAUUACCAUUGUGAACUUUAAAGAGGAAAUCUGUUUAAAGUAACCCUUGUUGAAAAUUCCCUUCUACAAGAAAGAAACAGUAAUCAGUAUUGUCAAUAUAACAAACUUAUGUUUCAUUGUAUACUAUUUUUGUCGUACCUUUUACAAGUUGUUGAAACAAA
rnacentral:lncRNA from 11 species